rnacentral:rRNA from 1 species
AUUGAACGCUGGCGGCAGGCCUAACACAUGCAAGUCGAACGGUAACAGGAAGCAGCUUGCUGCUUUGCUGACGAGUGGCGGACGGGUGAGUAAUGUCUGGGAAACUGCCUGAUGGAGGGGGAUAACUACUGGAAACGGUAGCUAAUACCGCAUAACGUCGCAAGACCAAAGAGGGGGACCUUCGGGCCUCUUGCCAUCGGAUGUGCCCAGAUGGGAUUAGCUAGUAGGUGGGGUAACGGCUCACCUAGGCGACGAUCCCUAGCUGGUCUGAGAGGAUGACCAGCCACACUGGAACUGAGACACGGUCCAGACUCCUACGGGAGGCAGCAGUGGGGAAUAUUGCACAAUGGGCGCAAGCCUGAUGCAGCCAUGCCGCGUGUAUGAAGAAGGCCUUCGGGUUGUAAAGUACUUUCAGCGGGGAGGAAGGGAGUAAAGUUAAUACCUUUGCUCAUUGACGUUACCCGCAGAAGAAGCACCGGCUAACUCCGG